GACGAACGCUGGCGGCGUGCCUAACACAUGCAAGUCAAGCGGGAUCCAUCUGGUGGCAACACCGGGGAAGAUCUAGCGGCGAACGGGUGAGUAACACGUGAGAAACCUGCCCCGAACUUCGGGAUAACACGGGGAAACCCGUGCUAAUACCGAAUACCCUCUACCGGUCGCAUGGCCGGAAGCGGAAAGAUUCAUCGGUUCGGGAGGGUCUCGCGGCCUAUCAGCUAGUUGGCGGGUUAACGGCCCACCAAGGCAUCGACGGGUAGCUGGUCUGAGAGGACGAUCAGCCACACUGGGACUGAGACACGGCCCAGACUCCUACGGGAGGCAGCAGUGGGGAAUCUUGCGCAAUGGGCGAAAGCCUGACGCAGCAACGCCGCGUGCGGGAUGAAGGCCUUCGGGUUGUAAACCGCUUUCAGCAGGGAAGAAAAUGACGGUACCUGCAGAAGAAGCCCCGGCCAACUACGUGCCAGCCGCCGCCGUAA
rnacentral:rRNA from 1 species